AAACUGCUCGCUAGAAUCUCUCCUCCUCUGUUGAACUUUGACCCUGGUCAGACUCUGGAACAUCAUGGAACCCAGCAGCAUACUGAAGGGUCAAGCCUGACUCUGGAGUCCUGUUAUUUGUGAAACUCAGUUCUCCCGGGCUAGGCAAGCUGAAAGCCAACAACUAGGAGACACAAGAGAGAUGGAAAAAGACCCUUGGCAGUAGAAGCCUGGAUCCCUGAGUCACCAUUUGGAGAAGAACAACCUAGGAGCUUGUUGGACCAGAACAACCACCUUGGACUUGCCAUUAGUGAGAAACAGAACUUGAUUGUGCUACGACAUUGAGAUCUGGGUGUCUUUUAUUAUGUUACAGAAUAUUGUUUACCCUGACUGCUACAACUUACCAUCUAUACUGAUAUUUGUUGUCACUACAUUGCAGGAUGCUUAUAACUCCUGAGCAAAAUAGGUUUACAAUCAUUUAAAAAGAGAAC
rnacentral:lncRNA from 1 species